rnacentral:sRNA from 1 species
AUUUUUCUAAGGUUUAAAAAAUAUUUUUAGGUGCACCUAAAAAUAAAUGUAAUAAAAACGCCUACUCAGAUAUUUAUAUAUCUAUGAAGACGUUUAAAUACAUUAUAGAUGGUCUGGUUC